GAUGAACGCUGGCGGCGUGCCUAAUACAUGCAAGUCGAACGAACAGACGAGGAUCUUGCUCCUCUGACGUUAGCGGCGGACGGGUGAGUAACACGUGGAUAACCUACCUAUAAGACUGGGAUCACUUCGGGAAACCGGAGCUAAUACCGGAUAAUCUAUUGAACCACAUGGUUCAAUAGUGAAAGACGGUUUUGCUGUCACUUCUAGAUGGAUACGAGCCGCAUUGGCUAGUUGGUAAGGUAACGGCUUACCAAGGCAACGAUGCGUGGCCGACGUGACGGGGGGAUCGGCCACACGAGAACGUAGACGCGGUCCUGACUCCUACGGGAGGCAGCAGUAGGGAAUCUGCCGCAAUAGGCGAAAGCUUGACGGAGCAAGGGCGCGUGAGUGAUGAAGGUCUUCGGAGCGUAAUACUCUGUUAUUAGGGAAGAACAAAUGUGGAAGGAACUAAGCACUUCUUGACGGUACCUAAUCAGAAAGCCACGGCUAACUACGUG
rnacentral:rRNA from 1 species